rnacentral:rRNA from 1 species
GCAUCUGUGCAUGCAGCAUAUCAAUAAGCGGAGGAAAAGAAACUAACAAGGAUUCCCUCAGUAACGGCGAGUGAAGCGGGAAGAGCUCAAAUUUGAAAUCUUGAAAGGUCACCUUUCACGAAUUGUAGUUUAAAGGAGUGUUUUCUGUUACGAUCGUAAUAUAAGUUCUUUGGAAUAGGACAUCACAGAGGGUGAGAAUCCCGUCUAUGAUUGCGAUUUGUAGCUUUGUGAUACACUUUCAAAGAGUCGGGUUGUUUGGGAAUGCAGCCCAAAACGGGAGGUAAAUUUCUUCUAAGGCUAAAUAUUGGCGAGAGACCGAUAGCGAACAAGUACCGUGAGGGAAAGAUGAAAAGAACUUUGAAAAGAGAGUUAAAUAGUACGUGAAAUUGUCAAAAGGGAAGCGUUUAACACCAGUGUUGUUUUCUGAAAAUCAACCUCUGUUAGCUUUAUGCAUGUUUGUUUAGACCUAAUCAGCUAUCUUGCAUGUUCUAUUGUUUGCAGUGGUGCACUUUUCAGUUUACAGGUCAACAUCAGUUUUUUUUACCGUAAAAAAGUUAAAGAAAGGUAGCUCAUGGCUCCGGUCGUGAGUGUUAUAGUCUUUUUCCUAUGCGGUAGGAGAGACUGAGGUCUGCAGUGUAGGCUAUUUGGCUAGAUACUCAGGUGCUAUGUGAUACCAUUUCAUAAACAACUUGUUGAUUAUGUUUUGUCUAUUGCAUACUCGCUUGUACUAUCAUACCUACGCUUAGGAUGUUGACGAUCAGCUGAGCGCG